rnacentral:rRNA from 1 species
UACGGAGGGUGCAAGCGUUAUCCGGAUUUACUGGGGUUAAAGGGUGCGUAGGUGGAUAAUUAAGUCAGUGGUGAAAUCUUCAGGCUUAACCUGGAAACUGCCAUUGAUACUAUUUAUCUUGAAUACUUUGGAGGUAAGCGGAAUAUGUCAUGUAGCGGUGAAAUGCUUAGAUAUGACAUAGAACACCAAUUGCGAAGGCAGCUUACUACACAGUAAUUGACACUGAGGCACGAAAGCCAGGGGAGCAAACGGG